rnacentral:tRNA from 1 species
GCGGAAAUAGCUCAGUUGGUAGAGCACAACCUUGCCAAGGUUGGGGUCGCGGGUUCGAAUCCCGUUUUCCGCUC